AUAUUAGUGAGUCAUGGGUAAAUUAGUAAAUAAAUAUAUUUUUGUAUCUACCUACCUAAAUAAUUAAUGUCUAUGGUUAGAUUUCAAGCCUACGACAAACAAUAAUUUAUCACUCAAAAUUACCAAGUUACAAUGGCUAAAAAUUAAAAGGCAAAAAUAUUCUCUAAUAUAUAAUAUAUAAUCCAAUAUACCUGUUUAGGGAAAAUAAGCUAAAAUAUUCUUUAAUAAAUUCCAAAAGCUAAAAUAUUUCCAAAGGGUUAAAUAUAAAUUUAUGUGCAAACAACUUUUUUUGAUAGAUAGGUACUACAAAUUAUGAAACACGAACAUGUCGUACUUUUAUCAAAUAGCAUAAGUUAAUUUAAAAAAUAAAUGGAUUUGCAUAAAAUUCAACUCU